rnacentral:rRNA from 1 species
ACUAAGACUAGCCUAACCUUCUACACCCUCCAACAGAUCUUACAUGCCCUCAACUAAAACAUUCACUAAAAUCACUAGUAGUAUAGGAGAUAGAAAUUUCACCCAGCGCUAUAGAAAAAGUACCGUAAGGGAAAGAUGAAAGAACAAUUUAAAGUUCAUAAAAGCAAAGUUUACCCCUUGUACCUUUUGCAUAAUGACUUAACUAGAACAGUCUGACGAAGAGAAUUUAAGCCAGAACACCCGAAACCAAACGAGCUACUCGUGAACAGUUAUAUAAGAACCAACUCAUCCAUGUAGCAAAAUGGUGAGAAGAUUCACGAGUAGAGGUGAAAGGCCUAACGAGCUUGGCGAUAGCUGGUUGUUCAGAAAAGAAUUUCAGUUCAGCCUUAAAUUAACCUAAAGUAACCCACCUAAACCCCCUGUUAAUUUAAGCACUAAUCCAAAGAGGAACAGCUCUUUAGAAUAGGCUACAACCUUCAGUAGAGAGUAAACACUAUCCCCCUUAUCGUUGGCCUAAAAGCAGCCACCAAUAGAGAAAGCGUUCAAGCUCAACACACAACAUACUUUAAUUUCUAAAUCCCACAACAACCUCCUACCAAACAACUGAACUAUUCUAUCACUAAAUAGAAGCAAUACUGUUAACAUAAGUAACAAGAAUCCUAUUCUCCUAGCACAAGCUUAUACCGGACCGGAUGCCCACCGAUAAUUAACAAUAAAUUAAAUUUACCCCCCCCCCCAAUCCAUUACUAAAAACCUAUUGUUAACCCAACACAGGCGUGCACUAAGGAAAGAUUAAAAAAAGUAAAAGGAAUUCAGCAAAACCUAACCCCGCCUGUUUACCAAAAACAUCACCUCCAGCAUUACCAAUAUUGGAGGCACUGCCUGCCCAGUGACAUGCGUUUAACGGCCGCGGUAUCCUGACCGUGCAAAGGUAGCAUAAUCAUUUGUUCUCUAAUUAAGGACUAGAAUGAAUGGCCACACGAGGGUUAAACUGUCUCCUACUUUUAAUCAGUGAAAUUGACCUUCCCGUGAAGAGGCGGGAAUAUCCUAAUAAGACGAGAAGACCCUAUGGAGCUUAAAUUAUUAGCCCAAACAAGUACACCCAAUAAUUCAACAAAGAUAUAAACAACUACUACCCCUGAGCUAAAACUUUUGGUUGGGGUGACCUCGGAGCAUAACUUAACCUCCGAAUAAACAAGCUUAGACAUUACCAGUCAAAGCAUCAACAAACCAACUGACCCAAAUUUAACUUGAUCAACGGAACAAGUUACCCUAGGGAUAACAGCGCAAUCCUAUUAUAGAGUCCAUAUCGACAAUAGGGUUUACGACCUCGAUGUUGGAUCAGGACACCCCAAUGGUGCAACCGCUAUUAACGGUCCGUUUGUUCAACGGUUAAAGUCCUACGUGAUCUGAGUUCAGACCGGAGUAAUCCAGGUCGGUUUCUAUCUAUUUAGUAUCUCUCCCAGUACGAAAGGACAAGAGAGAUAAAGCCAACUCAAUAGAGCGCUCUCAACCUCAAUAGAUGAUAAACACUUAAUCUGACAACUAACUCAAUACCCUGCCCAAGACCAGGGCUU